GAGAUACUAGUAAAAUACAUUACACUGCCUUGUCAAGACAGAAUUGUAAGUUUAAACCUUACGUAUCUUU
rnacentral:tRNA from 1 species